rnacentral:rRNA from 1 species
AGUGUACCCGCGGCAAGACGGAAAGACCCCGUGAACCUUUACUAUAGCUUGACACUGAACAUUGAGCCUUGAUGUGUAGGAUAGGUGGGAGGCUUUGAAGUGUGGACGCCAGUCUGCAUGGAGCCGACCUUGAAAUACCACCCUUUAAUGUUUGAUGUUCUAACGUGGACCCGUUACCCGGGUUGCGGACAGUGUCUGGUGGGUAGUUUGACUGGGGCGGUCUCCUCCUAAAGAGUAACGGAGGAGCACGAAGGUUGGCUAAUCCUGGUCGGACAUCAGGAGGUUAGUGCAAUGGCAUAAGCCAGCUUGACUGCGAGCGUGACGGCGCGAGCAGGUGCGAAAGCAGGUCAUAGUGAUCCGGUGGUUCUGAAUGGAAGGGCCAUCGCUCAACGGAUAAAAGGUACUCCGGGGAUAACAGGCUGAUACCGCCCAAGAGUUCAUAUCGACGGCGGUGUUUGGCACCUCGAUGUCGGCUCAUCACAUCCUGGGGCUGAAGUAGGUCCCAAGGGUAUGGCUGUUCGCCAUUUAAAGUGGUACGCGAGCUGGGUUUAGAACGUCGUGAGACAGUUCGGUCCCUAUCUGCCGUGGGCGCUGGAGAACUGAGGGGGGCUGCUCCUAGUACGAGAGGACCGGAGUGGACGCAUCACUGGUGUUCGGGUUGUCAUGCCAAUGGCACUGCCCGGUAGCUAAAUGCGGAAGAGAUAAGUGCUGAAAGCAUCUAAGCACGAAACUUGCCCCGA